rnacentral:rRNA from 1 species
UGAGGAAUAUUGGGCAAUGCCCGAAAGGGUGACCCAGCAACGCCGCGUGGAGGAUGAAGGUCGUAAGAUUGUAAACUCCUGUUAGAGGGGAAGAAUAACUAAGUUUGGAGCUUAGUAUGACUGUACCCUCAGAGAAAGCCCCGGCUAACUACGUGCCAGCAGCCGCGGUAAUACGUAGGGGGCAAGCGUUGUCCGGAUUUACUGGGUGUAAAGGGCGCGCAGGCGGAAUGGAAAGUCAGUGGUGAAAGCCUACAGCUUAACUGUAGAACUGCCUUUGAUACUUUCAUUCUUGAGUUCGGGAGAGAGAGACGGAAUUCCAGGUGUAGUGGUGAAAUACGUAGAUAUUCGCAAGAACACCAGUGGCGAAGGCGGCUCACUGGCCCGGUACUGACGCUGAGAUACGAAAGCGUGGGGAGCAAACA